AAUACAGUACUUGUUAUGCCUUAUUAAAAAAAAGUUUUAUAACAUAAGGAAUUAUAACAAAGAAGCAACACAUAAAAUAUGACAUUCAUAUUUUUUAGUGUGUAUCAAUCGAGUUUCUGACCUAUCAGCUUUUGAUGUUAGGAUAUGGGCCUACCAUGGUGACCACGGGUGACGGGGAAUCAGGGUUCGAUUCCGGAGAGGGAGCCUGAGAAACGGCUACCACAUCCAAGGAAGGCAGCAGGCGCGCAAAUUACCCAAUUCUAAAGAAGAGAGGUAGUGACAAGAAAUAAUAGGACAAGACUAAUUUUUUAGUUUUGUAUCUGUGCUGAUAGAAUUUUAAAACUAUUCUAAAAUUCCAUUGGAGGGCAAGUCUGGUGCCAGCAGCCGCGGUAAUUCCAGCUCCAAUAGCGUAUAUUAAAGUUGCUGCAGUUAAAAAGCUCGUAGUUGGAUUUCAAA
rnacentral:rRNA from 1 species